rnacentral:rRNA from 1 species
GACGAACGCUGGCGGCGUGCUUAACACAUGCAAGUCGAACGGAAAGGCCCUGCUUUUGUGGGGUGCUCGAGUGGCGAACGGGUGAGUAACACGUGAGUAACCUGCCCUUGACUUUGGGAUAACUUCAGGAAACUGGGGCUAAUACCGGAUAGGAGCUCCUGCUGCAUGGUGGGGGUUGGAAAGUUUCGGCGGUUGGGGGUGGACUCGCGGCUUAUCAGCUUGUUGGUGGGGUAGUGGCUUACCAAGGCUUUGACGGGUAGCCGGCCUGGGAGGGUGACCGGCCACAUUGGGACUGGGAUACGGCCCAGACUCCAACGGGAGGCAGCGGUGGGGAAUAUUGCACAAUGGGCGGAAGCCUGAUGCAGCAACGCCGCGUGCGGGAUGACGGCCUUCGGGUUGUAAACCGCUUUCGCCUGUGACGAAGCGUGAGUGACGGUAAUGGGUAAAGAAGCACCGGCUAACUACGUG